AAUAAACGUUGGCGGUGCGCCUUAUGCAUGCAAGUCGAACGGGGUUACAGUCUUCGGAUUGUGACCUAGUGGCGAAUGGCUGAGUAACACGUAAGUAACCUGCCUUGGAGUGAGAAAUAACCUGCCGAAAGGCAAGCUAAUGUCCCAUGUGGUAACGAAGCGGAUGCUUCGUUAUUAAAGCCUUAGGGUGCUCCAAGAGGGACUUGCGCCUGAUUAGCUAGUUGGUAGGGUAACGGCCUACCAAGGCGAUGAUCGGUAGCUGGUCUGAGAGGAUGGUCAGCCAGAUGGGGACUGGGACACGGCCCCAACUCCUACGGGAGGCAGCAGCAAGGAAUCUUGGGCAAUGAGCGAAAGCUUGACCCAGCGACACCGCGUGAGGGAGGAAGGCCUUCGGGUUGUAAACCUCUUUUCUUGGGGAAGAAUUUUGACGGUACCCAAGGAAUAAGCCUCGGCCAACUACGUGCCAGCAGCCGCGGUAAUACGUAGGAGGCGAACGUUAUUCGGAUUUACUGGGCGUAAAGAGAGCGUAGGCGGUUCCUUAAGUCAGAUGUGAAAUCUUUCGACUUAAUCGGAAGGCGUCGGUUGAUACUGAGGGACUUGAGAAUAGCAGAGGGAAAUGGAAUCCCCAGUGUAGCGGUGAAAUGCGUAGAUAUUGGGGAGAACACCAGGGGCGAAGGCGAUUUUCCAGGUUAUUUCUGACGCUGAGGCUCGAAAGCGUGGGGAGCGAAGCGGAUUAGAUACCCGCGUAGUCCACGCCCUAAACGGUGGACACUAGACAUGGGAGGUAUCGACCCUUUCUGUGUCGAAGCUAACGCCCUAAGUGUCCCGCCUGGGGAGUACGGCCGCAAGGCUAAAACUCAAAGGAAUUGACGGGGGCCCGCACAAGCGGUGGAGCAUGUGGUUCAAUUCGACGCAACGCGAAGAACCUUACCUGGGUUUGAACUGCUGGUGGUAAGACCUCGAAAGGGGAAUGAUCCUGGCUUGCCAGGAAGCCAGCAGAGGUGCUGCAUGGCUGUCGUCAGCUCGUGUCGUGAGAUGUUGGGUUAAGUCCCGCAACGAGCGCAACCCUUGCCUUUAGUUGCCAGCGAGUUAUGUCGGGUACUCUAAGGGGACUGCCUCGGAUAACGGGGAGGAAGGUGGGGAUGACGUCAAGUCAGCAUGGCCUUUAUGUCCAGGGCUACACACGUGCUACAAUGGACGGUACAGAGAGUCGCAAGGCCGCGAGGUGGAGCUAAUCUCUAAAACCGUUCUCAGUUCGGAUCGCAGGCUGCAAUUCGCCUGCGUGAAGUUGGAAUCGCUAGUAAUCGCGGAUCAGCAACGCCGCGGUGAAUACGUUCUCGGGCCUUGUACACACCGCCCGUCACAUCACGAAAGUUGG
rnacentral:rRNA from 1 species